GCUACUGCUGUUGGGGUUCGGCUAAGCCAUGCGAGUGGAGGGCGUCCCGCAAGGGAUGGCCCCGCAGACGGCUCAGUAACACGUCGUCAACCCACCUUAGGGUGGGGGACAACCUCGGGAAACUGAGGAUAAUCCCCCAUAGGCGGGGGAGGCUGGAAUGCACCCCCGCUGAAAGCUCAGGCGCCCCAGGACGGGACGGCGGCCUAUCAGGUAGUUGGUGGUGUGACG
rnacentral:rRNA from 1 species